GCGGCUAAUGGGGGAUGCUGCACGUGCUGGACAAAUGACGACCGACUAAGUGGCUGGUAAUGUACGUCGAGACAUUUUGUAUUGGCAUUUGCAAUCUCAAGUAAGCAGUCGGAAACAGUGAAUCUUACAAGCAAAUAUUCACCUCGGCAAUGGCUAGACUGCUGAACAUCUUUGCUAACGCUUCUGGCAUUGCCUGUAUCUGUUGGAUUACUAAGGAUCCAUUGGACUACAACAAAAAAUCUUUAAUGUUCUACUGGAGGAAAAAGUUGCACCUUGGCUGUUCUGGGGUUUGCCUUUAUUCUGUGGCUUUCAACAGUGAGUAAGUCUGGUGGUCUUUGAGCUGCUUCAGCCUGCCUUCAUCUCACAGCUGGGAGAUCCAGCUCUUCUGUUCACUGCCAUCCAUGGAGCCCCAAAGGCCUUACUGGCAUAAAUCAGGUAAAAAAUAAAUACAUGAAGCAAUGCAACGGAAGAAAAGAAUGUCGUUCUCGGAAACCACAUCACUGCAGCAGCAGAGUAAGAAAAAUAAUCUACUUCAGGAGUUUUCAUUUGUGCCAUUCCACAGUCCUAAACAAUUGACUGUAUCUAUAAAGCUAUAAAUCCAUGGUUCCAGGAGCACUUCAGGUGAACAGACGGGAUAACAAGCAUUUGUGGUAAGAUGUGGUGAGUCUAACUGCUGCACUUCAGUUCUCACACAUCCACAGCAGUUUGAUUCUGACCCCAAGAGAGAAAGCAAGGCCAAGAAGCAGAAAAGAGAGUUACUUACUCAGUGGACAGCCAUUACAGCAACAAUGCAGUCAAUUGGGAUCUAAAUGGGAGUUUCAUUUACCAGCACCAUUGACUUUGUGCUGAUUGUAAAGCCAUUUGUUUAGAUGUGUUUGUGAGAACCAUGAUUUUCAGUAGUUCACUAAGCCAUUACACUGCAAUAGGAAAAAAGAAGCUAUUUUAUCUGAGAAUGAAAUGGAAGGUGCUAGUUAAGCCUGGCUUUUGAACGGUAAUACAUAUUAUGUCCUAUGAUUGUCAACUUGCCUGACUUUGACGAUUAUUCAGUUAAUUAUGUAUUUUAAUGUAAAUACUUGAGCAUUUAUAUGGUGCCUGUAACUUUUUCAGUGGGUUGCAUGUGUGUAUUGUCUUAAAGCACCUUCAUAUUACUGCUGUCUCUGCUUUUAAUUUUAAUCAAACAAAUGUUAAUGAAAUGACUGAAUAACUGUAACAUCAAUAGUGAUUAAACUUUAUUAAUUUA
rnacentral:lncRNA from 1 species